rnacentral:rRNA from 1 species
UGGGGGAUAUUGCACAAUGGGCGAAAGCCUGAUGCAGCGACGCCGCGUGGGGGAUGAAGGCUUUCGGGUUGUAAACCUCUUUCGCUAUCGAACAAGGCCCGCUUAGGGUGGGUUGAGGGUAGGUGGAGAAGAAGCGCCGGCUAACUACGUGCCAGCAGCCGCGGUAAUACGUAGGGCGCGAGCGUUGUCCGGAAUUAUUGGGCGUAAAGGGCUUGUAGGCGGCUUGUUGCGCCUGCUGUGAAAACGCGGGGCUUAACUUCGCGCGUGCAGUGGGUACGGGCCGGCUUGAGUGUGGUAGGGGUGACUGGAAUUCCAGGUGUAGCGGUGGAAUGCGCAGAUAUCUGGCGGAACACCGAUGGCGAAGGCAGGUCACUGGGCCAUUACUGACGCUGAGGAGCGAAAGCAUGGGUAGCGAACAGG